rnacentral:lncRNA from 1 species
CCUUUAUUGCCGCCUCCUCUCCUUAGGUAUGGAUCCUUCUUGGGCAUCCCACCUGCUGGUGUGAGGUGUCACACCAUCAUAUCUCAUUCCUCGAUUGAUUGAGUUGCAAAACCAAUUGGAUUAGAGUUCAUCCUACUUUUCUACGGCAUCUAACGUACAUGCGAAGUAGAGGGUCUACAUAUCCAGACCUUCGUGAAGGUUUAUAUCAGAUAAUUUGAGAUUUGAUCCCUGGUUCCGCUGCGAUUCAGGUAAAGAUUUGAUCCUUAAACAAGUAGAAUAUUAGAAAAAAAUUUUAGAUGCAACCUGGGCAUUCUGGAGAGAAACUAUUUUCUUCCCUUCAUCCAUACCACUCAUGAUAUCUAGAUUUGUGAGAUAGAAGGAUUACUAUGGCAUGUUAUCCACCAUGGGAUUUGAUGAGUCUACCCAAACAUGCUCCAAGUGAUGAU